rnacentral:rRNA from 1 species
AUUGAACGCUGGCGGCAGGCUUAACACAUGCAAGUCGAGCGGUAACAGAGAGAAGCUUGCUUCUCUGCUGACGAGCGGCGGACGGGUGAGUAAUGCCUAGGAAUCUGCCUAGUAGUGGGGGAUAACUUGCCGAAAGGUAAGCUAAUACCGCAUACGUCCUACGGGAGAAAGGAGGGGGCCUUCGGGCCUUUCGCUAUUAGAUGAGCCUAGGUCGGAUUAGUUAGUUGGUGAGGUAAUGGCUCACCAAGACCGCGAUCCGUAACUGGUCUGAGAGGAUGAUCAGUCACACUGGAACUGAGACACGGUCCAGACUCCUACGGGAGACAGCAGUGGGGAAUAUUGGACAAUGGGGGGAACCCUGAUCCAGCCAUGCCGCGUGUGUGAAGAAGGUCUUAGGAUUGUAAAGCACUUUAAGUUGGGAGGAAGAGCAGUUAACUAAUAUUUGACUGUUUUGACGUUACCGACAGAAUAAGCACCGGCUAACUUCGUG